AUGUCCUUAAUGACACAUCCCAGCACGAGAAAGCCUUCAACGAAACAUCCUGCAUCCACAAAAACCAGAAACGUAUCCUUUGCUUGGUUAUCAUCUUCCUGCACAAACAACCUUGUAUUCAUGCUGCACGGCUUCACCGCAAGCCUCGCGAACUCUCUUGAAUGCUCCACUGAUUCCUGCGUAAGGUUCUUUGGGGUCACCUCCUUGUUGUCAAAAACCUUAGAGUUCCUUACAUGUCAAAGUUUCCAUAAAGUGGUGCACACAACCGGUCCCAAAGAAGGUUCAGCACAAUCCAAAAUUGAUUCCACCCAUUCAACUAAGGCCAGAUUUUCAGGAAUCCUUAUCCCCAUCGGCAACGCGAACCAGACUAACUUCGCAAAACGACAGUGCAUAAAAAUGUGA